GCAGUCGUGGCCGAGUGGUUAAGGCAAUGGACUAGAAAUCCAUUGGGGUCUCCUCACACAGGUUCAAAUCCUGUCCACUGCG
rnacentral:tRNA from 2 species